AUCACUUCUAGGCCCUUUGGCUAAGAUCAAGUGUAGAAAACAGAUUUAUUAAAAAAAACACCACUAUAGAGAGAAUCAUAUUUUAAAUCCAUGUGUGGAAUUCAAGGUGGAGUUCAUCCCUUUGAAACUCUAUCAGGAUAUUCAUAUGUAUGUGACCAUGUGCUUUUCUGUAAAGAAUAAUCUCUA